ACACAACACGCUCUACACAACAACACUACACAACACACUCUACACAACAACACUACACAACACGCUCUACACAACACGCUCUACACAACAACACUACACAACACGCUCUACACAACAACACUACACAACAACGCUCUACACAACACGCUCUACACAACAACACUACACAACACACUCUACACAACAACACUACACAACAACGCUACACAACACGCUCUACACAACAACACUACACAACAACACUACACAACACGCUCUACACAACACGCUCUACACAACAACACUACACAACACGCUCUACACAACAACACUACACAACAACGCUCUACACAACACGCUCUACACAACAACACUACACAACAACACUACACAACACUACACAACAACACUACAGAACAACGCGCUACACAACACUACACAACAACACUCUACACAACACGCUCUACACAACACUACACAACAAUUCUCUACACAACAACACUACACAACAACACUCUACACAACACGCUCUACACAACACUACACAACAAUUCUCUACACAACAACACUACACAACACUACAGAACAAUGCUCUACACAACAACACUCUACACAACACGCUCUACACAACAAUUCUCCCACACAACAACACUACACAACAACGCUCUACACAACACACUCUACACAACACUACAGAACAAUGCUCUACACAACAACGCUCUACACAACAGCUCUACACAACAAAACAAUGCUCUACACAACAAGACUCUACACAACACUACACAAUAACGCUCUACACAACAACACUAAACAACACUACAGAACACUAAACAACACUACAACGCUACACAACAACACUCUACACAACGCUCUACACAACAACACAACAACGCUCUACACAACAACACUCCACACAACACUCUACACAACAACACCGCACAACACUACACAAUAACGCUUUACACAACAAUGCUCAAACACACGGGUCAGAAGGUUCUCUAUAACAGCGGCUCUGACAGUAGCGCAGGUUUAUAUUAAUGCUCUCAUUCUGAUACGUUAUGGUUUCUAUAGUAACGGCUCGUUCACAGGGACGUGUACAGCGCACGCUCCACAUAAACUAAUUGUACAUGUGUGUGAUCAUUUAUGUAACAGUUAUGGAAGGAGUCUCCAGUGUCCAGAGGUAAAGCUUUAACUUUAUGUUGUCCCACAGAGAGGAUAAAGAGAGAAAAGAGAGAGAAUAGAGUGAGAGGAUAAAGAGAGAAAAGAGAGAGGGAAUAUAGAGAGAAUAGAAAGAGAAUAAAGAGAGGGAAUAAAGAGAGAGAGAAUAAAGAGAGAGAAUAAAGAGAGAGAAUAAAGAGAGAGAGAAUAAAAGAGAGGGAAUAGAGAGAGAGAAUAGAGAGAGAGAAUAAAGAGAGAGAGAAUAAAGAGAGGGAAUAGAGAGAGGGAAUAAAGAGAGAGAAUAGAGAGAGGGAAUAGAGAGAGGGAAUAAAGAGAGAGAGAAUAAAAGAGAGGGAAUAGAGAGAGAGAAUAGAGAGAGGGAAUAGAGAGAGAGAAUAGAGAGAGGGAAUAGAGAGAGAAUAGAGAGAGGAAUAGAGAGAGGGAAUAGAGAGAGGGAAUAAAGAGAGGGAAUAGAGAGAGAGAAUAGAGAGAGAGAAUAGAGAGAGAGAAUAGAGAGAGGGAAUAGAGAGAGAGAAUAGAGAGAGGGAAUAGAGAGAGGGAAUAGAGAGGGAAUAAAGAGAGAGAAUAAAGAGAGAGAAUAAAGAGAGGGAAUAGAGAGAGAGAAUAGAGAGAGGGAAUAAAGAGAGGGAAUAGAGAGAGAGAAUAGAGAGAGAGAAUAGAGAGCGAGAAUAGAGAGCGAGAAUAGAGAGAGGGAAUAGAGAGAGAGAAUAAAGAGAGAGAAUAAAGAGAGGGAAUAGAGAGAGAGAAUAAAGAGAGGGAAUAGAGAGAGGAAUAGAGAGAGGGAAUAGAGAGAGAGAAUAGAGAGAGGGAAUAAAGAGAGAGAAUAAAGAGAGCGAUGGUGAGGGAACGAGUGUUUACAGCUGCUAUAACAUAAGUGAGAACAGGAACUCACUUGUUUCAUGAACAUUAACUGUAACUGUAAAUGGAUAAAAGUGUGAUGUGUUCUGUAAUAAAUGAAGGUGUGAUGGGGUGAGUUGCUGUGGUGUGAGGGGAAUAAUCCCUUGGGGGACGUGCUGUUAGAGGAAAGUAAUCAUGGUCAGGAAGUGCUGUACACAGGACCUUACACUUUCUAGAAGGUUCCGGACUCUGUGGAACCCUGGAGUAACUGUGUGCAUGAUGUGUUUACUGCAGCAGAACAGAACCCGGUGCUGUCAGUCACGCCGUCCUCCGCAUCAGAACCUCCCCCUCCCCCACACACUCCUCCCUCUCUUCCUCCUCAACUCCUCGACACGCGGAAAUCCGUUCUCCGUGACAGUUCGGAAUCUUCCAGAUCAUUUGAAUCGGUGAUGGAGGGUAAGGCCUUGACGGGAGCAAGGGAUUCUGGGUAAUGCUGCUGCUAGCGAUCAUCUUUCUGAAGCUAGCUGUUCAAAUACAAACCAUGGACGCACACACACACACAUGCACACACACACACACAUGCAUGCACACACGCACACACACGCACACACACGUGCACACACAUGCACACACACACACGUACACACGCACGCACACACACACGUACGCACACACGUACACACGCGCACACACACACACAGAUAUGUUUAGUAAAGCAGAUUGAAACUCAUUCCAUUUGAUUGCUUUGUAUUUUAACAGCUAGCUUAAUCUUUAAGCUGUUAGCUUAGCGAGGUGACGUUAGCAGCAGCGCUCAGAUCCCCACAGCUUACAUGUCAGUUUAUUUUCUUCAUUUGUUCUUUCAGUUUUUUUCCUUCAGUCGAGCGACAUGUCAUCUUUCUGUUCUCUUUCAUC
ensembl:lncRNA